GCCUGGUCGGAGCUCCACACCCACCCCUCCCCUCCUCUUCCAAAGUCUGGGGUGACCCCGACUGCAGGUGGGGUGGGGGGCUGAGGUCCUCCUGCCUUCUGACCAAAUCCCGGGGGCCUGUGGGUGGGGAGUGGGCCGCAUCCUCAGCCACGGGUCCCCGGUCCCGCCACCAGCCUGGACAGCCUGCUGCAGUGCGGCAUGGGACCGAGGGCCUGAGAGGGAAGGGGCCUGCCCCGGAUUGCACAGUGGAGCAAGUGGCUGAGCUGGAAUUGGCUUUCUGCCCU
rnacentral:lncRNA from 1 species